rnacentral:rRNA from 1 species
ACUCCUACGGGAGGCAGCAGUGGGGAAUAUUGCACAAUGGGCGCAAGCCUGAUGCAGCAACGCCGUGUGAGUGAAGAAGGUUUUCGGAUCGUAAAACUCUGUCCUAAGGGAAGAAACAAAUGACGGUACCUUAGGAGGAAGCCCCGGCUAACUACGUGCCAGCAGCCGCGGUAAUACGUAGGGGGCAAGCGUUAUCCGGAAUCACUGGGGCGUAAAGGGUGCGUAGGCGGCUUAGCAAGCCAGGGGUGAAAGGCAUUGGCUCAACCAAUGUAAGCCUUUGGAACUGUUAAGCUUGAGUGCAGGAGAGGUAAGUGGAAUUCCUAGUGUAGAGGUGAAAUUCGUAGAUAUUAGGAGGAACACCAGUGGCGAAGGCGACUUACUGGACUGUAACUGACGCUGAUGCACGAAAGCGUGGGUAGCGAACAGGAUUAGAUACCCUGGUAGCGACUGA